UGAGCCGGCCGGGUGGUCGCGGCGCCGGUCCGGCCGGGAGGUCGGGGACGGCGUCGAGGAAGGUCGGGGCUCCAGAGGGCAGGGUGCUGGCGAGAUGCCAGUCGGGGUGACCCGCAGGAAAGUGCCACAGAGAACAGACCGCCGAUGGGCCGCCGGGCAACCGAUGGCCACAGGCAAGGGUGAAACGGUGCGGCAAGAGCGCACCAGCGCCCGGGGUGACCCGGGCGGCUCGGCAAACCCCACCCGGAGCAAGGCCGAAACGGGGGAAGGCUGGCCCGGCCGCCGCCGAGAGGCGGCACCCCCAGGUGGGCCGCACAGAUGGAUGGCCACCCAGGCGCCGAUGUCGCAGCUGCGGCAACGGCGCUGGACAGAACCCCGCCUACAGGCCGGCUCACCGU
rnacentral:RNase_P_RNA from 1 species